rnacentral:rRNA from 1 species
AGGGUUCGAUUCUGGCUCAGGAUGAACGCUAGCUACAGGCUUAACACAUGCAAGUCGAGGGGUAGCAGGGUAGCAAUACCGCUGACGACCGGCGCACGGGUGAGUAACACGUAUCCAACCUUCCCAUAACUCAGGGAUAGCCUUUCGAAAGAAAGAUUAAUACCUGAUAGUACUUUUUCAAGGCAUCUUGAGAAAGUUAAAGAUUUAUUGGUUAUGGAUGGGGAUGCGUUCCAUUAGAUAGUUGGUGAGGUAACGGCUCACCAAGUCUUCGAUGGAUAGGGGUUCUGAGAGGAAGGUCCCCCACAUUGGUACUGAGACACGGACCAAACUCCUACGGGAGGCAGCAGUGAGGAAUAUUGGUCAAUGGGCGAGAGCCUGAACCAGCCAAGUAGCGUGAAGGAUGAAGGUCCUAUGGAUUGUAAACUUCUUUUAUAGUAGAAUAAAGUGAUCCACGUGUGGAUUUUUGUAUGUAUACUAUGAAUAAGGAUCGGCUAACUCCGUGCCAGCAGCCGC